GGAGCGGUGUCCGAGUGGUCGAUGGAGGCGGUCUUGAAAACCGUUGAGCCGCAAGGUUCCGGGGGUUCGAAUCCCCCCUGCUCCG
rnacentral:tRNA from 1 species